CACGUAGGGGGCGAGCGUUGUCCGGAUUUAUUGGGCGUAAAGAGCUCGUAGGCGGCUUUGUCAGUCGGGUGUGAAACCUCCAGGCUCAACCUGGAGCCGCCACCCGAUACUGCAAUAGCUAGAGUCCGGUAGGGGAGCAUGGAACUCCUGGUGUAGCGGUGAAAUGCGCAGAUAUCAGGAGGAACACCGAUGGCGAAGGCAGGUCACUGGGCCGCAACUGACGCUGAGGAGCGAAAGCAUGGGGAGCGAACAGG
rnacentral:rRNA from 1 species